rnacentral:rRNA from 1 species
UACAGAGGGGGCAAGCGUUAUUCGGAAUUAUUGGGCGUAAAGGGCGCGUAGGCGGUAUGGCAAGUGGAAGGUGAAAUCCCUCGGCUUAACCGAGGAACUGCCCUCCAAACUGCUUUACUUGGGGCCGGGAGAGGUGAGUGGAAUUCCCAGUGUAGCGGUGAAAUGCGUAGAUAUUGGGAGGAACACCAGUGGCGAAGGCGGCUCACUGGACCGGUUCUGACGCUGAAGCGCGAAAGCGUGGGGAGCAAACGGG